AAAUCUCCGCGUGGCAAAUAUGGCGUAAAAAUUCUGCUGGUUUAUAUUGAUCAAUCAUACCUUUAUUUGAAGGUAAUAUGCUUUAUUUUAUAUCAGUAUUUGUGGUAGAAUACUUAGAUUGCUAAUGUAGAUGGAAUUUUUAGGACAUCGGGCUCGAAUUAAGUGCGAAAUGUUCGGCAUAAAGUUUGCACGUGCAGUCGUGCAUCGGUUUGGUCGAUUGUCGAAAUAUUAAAAAACCGUGAUCUGAUUUUAAUAGCACUGACCAAUUCAAUAAAAAGACUAAGGAAGCUAUAAAAUUAUUGAAAUAGUCGAGGAAAGUUAGUUGUUCUUGCUAGGAUCUUUAUAAGGAGGCAAAUAUUUUUAUAUUUUAUGAAUUUUAAGCCUGUUUAAGGUGGCUCUCUAGGGUUUUUUAAUUGACUACAGUUUUGUAUUCAGGAGACUCCUGUUACUUUACAUGACAUGAAGACGAAAUUUAUUGGACACAUUAGGGCCAUUUAUACGGGACAAAAUAAGUUGCGACUUACAUAAGUGGAGUUAUCGAACAAAUGGUUCUUUGCAGCAUUAGUCUCAUUUACUUGCUAUAGCUAUAAUGUUGUUUUGGUUGUUUUUGUUUUAAUAUGCAAGGCUAAUAAUUUUACGUUGUUUCAAGUUUCGGGCAUAUGCAGUAAACUUUUUAUCCAAAAUGUCUUAUUUAAGACACGACUUAAAUAAGAACAGCUAAAAAUCCUGUUCUUAUUUAAGUUGCGUCUUACAUAAGAAUUUUCGCGACUUGUUUUGUUUCGUAUAAAUGGCCCUAUUGACAAUGUUCUUUUGAACAUUACAAAUUGCUACAUUUGUGUUAAAAAUCUGUUAUCAUGGCAACAGCAUGCUUAGAAAUAAAGCUCAAAAUUUGUCUUUUUCAGGUUAUUUUAAAAAUUCGCUUCGGUGAAAUUUUUUAAAACUUUGCAUAAAAGAUAAUACUUGUAUAAUAAUUUUUUCCUUUCAAUUUAAAAUUUAAAUUAAAUCAAUAUGUUUCUUGGAAAAUUUUAAAAACGUCAAAAAUCAAUAUUGAAACCCUUCGAUUUAAUUUUAGGAAAAAAGGUUAUUGCACUUGUUGUGCCGAAACGUGUGCAAAGUUUUAAAAAAUUUCACCGAAGGAAAAGGGAUAAAUUUGGGUUAAAUUUUGGCAAUUUUACUAGAUUUUGACACGAACAAUUUAUGAAUACCCCAACUGAUGUGUACAUCCAUUUUGUAUAAAAAAAGUUAUGUUUGAUAUACUGUUUAUAACUGUGUCGGUUACCGGUCAACUAAGCGUGGAUUAUACAUGUAAAAUUGGCAAAGAUAUUUAGGUAAUUACUAGUUAUGACUCUUGGUAUUAAUUUGAAAAAUGUUUGUCAAAAUACGUCCUAGCUGUGCGAGUUUAUGGUAGUAUUGUCGGAUGUUCUCGCAAAAUGCCUGUUCAAAUUUCAGUUUUUAACUUUUUAUAGUGGCAUGUUUGGAGUUUUGGCCCUUCUCAUUUCACCUGUAGAGGGCUCAUUAUUUAAUUCAUCUUUAUUGUCAUAAAUGCUGCUAGAUUGUGGAGAAAACACUGCAAAUUCUUGAGGAGACUUUAUAUUAUAUCCCAAUGUUCGUGAUCGAACCUCGCGUACGGCACCAAGCGGUUCAAAAAACUUCCAGAAUACCGCUUGAAAAAAAGUUUACAUUAUCUUGAAACAUCACAUCCAAGUGUCUUGGCUUUUAGAACUCUUUUUAUGCUUUCAACUUAAGCAUAGUUCACACUUUUGUUUCAAAUAAAACACAACGUUUGUUUGUAUUUUGAAAUCACACGAGUUUCAGUUUACGUAUAUACGAUUCAUCGCACAAGCAAACUAAAUAUUUCUUCCAGAAUGGAGCGAAUUUGUUAAGUUAUUUACAAUCUUUCGGCAAAAAACCAACUCAUUUUCUUAGAAUACAUCAAUGGCUAAACAUUUUACCACUUACUUUGAGCUCAACAAUGGAAUAGAUGACCUUUUUGUGCUAGAAAUACAAAUGGCAAAGGUUCUGAAAGAUAAAACUCAGAGCAGAGUUAUAAAAUAAAUUUAAAAGUGGUGUUUUCAUUAUGAAAACUAUGUUAUCCCAUUUUUCAUUCGUAUUUAUUGGAAAUGAAUUAGAAAUGUAAUUGCUUUUUGCCGAAUGCGGAAACAUCGAAUUAGAUCGAAACAAUUUUGUUGUUUUUUAUCCAAACAUUAAAUAUCUUCAACAUCAGUCUACAAAUUGAGUUUUUCUUUUAUCUUUCAGGCAGUAAUAAAGCCACUUAAAAGUUGUAGUAGAUUAAUUUUGAAUAAAAUAGUUAUUAAACAAAAAUUGACAUUGAAAGAAAAGAUUUGUCAUGAUGUUAAAUUUUAUAAUUAAAGAUGCGGUACAGUCUGCAUGUAAACAAAGGCUUUGUUUACAUUUUGGUAUCCAAAAUAUUGAAUUUUAUUCGACAACUAUUUAUAUUUUCAUGAUUCUAGAGUUUAAUAAAUUAUCAAGAGACAACAAUCAAGCUUUGCAAGAACAUAAAAUGAAAUAAAAACCUAAAUAAACUGUUUGUAAAUGAAAGAGGGCUCCUUUGUGCACAUUUGCAGAUCGGACUGUACCGCAUCUUUAAGUGCUAAUAGUGUACAUUUUUCAUGUGUAGUCCAAAUUUCAUCUUAUACUAUUUAAUUAGUAAAUUUGAUCAUGUAUUUCUCUGAAAAUGACAAAGUUUGGGUUCCAGCCAUUUUUUUUAUUAGUUUCGACCGAAACCCUGAAAAAUGAGGGUUCUGGCUGGAACUAACCGGCCGGAACCGAAUUCCGGUGCAUAGGGCAGAGAGAAUAGGGUUGGCUGGAAAAGAUAUGCUGUUUCAGCUUCUGGUGCUCUGCACAUGUUCGUAUUGAGUUUUUCAUCUCGCUAGCCAAGCUGUUCACAUCCUCAGCAAAAUUCUCAUAAAUUUUUGUAGAUGUACAGUACAAGCUCCAAGAAUGUCACAAGUUCCUGUCUCAAGAUCUCAUGAUUACGACUAUUCCAAGAUCCUGAAUAAGAGGUAAAUGAUUUUUCUUCUAAUUAUUUUUAAAGUUUUCCUUGUAUUUCUUGGACAAUUAUCUUUGUAAUAUAUUAUUAAUUUGUUUCAUGUUCUCAAUAGUGAGUUUUUAAAUUUUUUAGAUGUGUGUUGCAAUUUCCAAGAAUGCCUCGAGUUGUUGGCUGAAGUGUUUUUGAUCACAAAAGUGAACAACGUCAUUGGAAAGUAUAUAAAAAGGUUUUAAUAUUUUUCUUAUCUUACAUGAAAUGCUUUGAACAUUAUGUGGUUGCUUGUGAUCAAUGGUUUCAAAAAUCCCAGCAGAAUAUUGCAAAAAUAGCAUGACCAUCUUACUUAUGACACAAAAUUCGACAAAAAUAACACAAUCUUUAUGAGGUGAGUGCACAAAAAUUGCACUCUUUUUAUUCUAUUAUUACACCACUAUUUUGACUUGUAUUAAUUUGGGAAAUUUCAGUUUUGUGGUCUGAUUACUUGGUUAAGUUUGGUGUUGCAACCAAUCACAGAAAGUCCAUAAUUUUCAAAGCAUAUAAGCAUUUUAUGAGCAAGCCAGAAAAUGAUAAACUGUCUGUGUUUUGAAAAAUUGUGUUUAAUUAACAAUGACGAUUUGGUUUCAAUAUACCUGUACAUUUUUUUUUGUUUGGCAUAAAUACAGAACAUAUAAAUUUGUGUUUGUCUGGGGCUAUUUCUCAGAACAUAGUUGUUUCUACAUAUUUCCAAAUUAUGUUUUUGUCAAAUAUAAAAAAAUGAAACGUUUGUCAUUCUUUGGCUUUGUCACAGCAGUUAAACAUUGAGAAGAUUGAGGUGUUUUCUUAUUAGAAACUAAAACAGUUACUUACAAAUAAGUCAUGUGACUUUUUUUAGUCAUCUUUCAUGUUUCAGUUAAUGUUUUCAGCAAAGGAUUAAAAGAACAUUGAUUAAUUGACAUUUGUUUCAUCAUACUUUGUGUUUUGAACUUAUUGACCUGCAUUGUGAAAACAGCAACUUAUGUCCCAUCUCAAUCUUCUCUUGUUUAAGUGGACUUUCAGUGUUUGUUGAAAGUUUGGAAAGUUUAUCUGAAAAUCACACUGUUUCUUUCAUUCUGGAUUUUAUUUGAGUCUUGAAAUAUUGAAUCUUAGAAAAAGCAAUUAGUGAUUAAUUGAAGUAUACAAUACUUCUAAAAUUAGCACUGUUAGAACUGCCUCGUUGUUUAACCGUCCUGUCUUAUUUAUCCCAGCACACUCUUAAUACAUGAGUUUGAUUAUUCCUGGAUACAAAUAAAAUGGAUUUGUUAAGGAACAAGGCAGUUCUUUACAGUACUGACUUAUAGGAGGGUUGUGUUCUUCAGUUGUUUUAUAUUCUUGUGCCGACCAGUUAUCAACAAAAAAUUCGAAUUUAGGAACAAACUUUGUGAUUUUUAAAAAGAAUUUCCCAACUUUAAAACAAACAGUUAAGGUCAAAAAAGUCUAGGAUAUUGCCUUUACUUCAUUACAAAGAGGAACUUAUUUGAAUGUGGAACUGAAGCAGCAAACUAUACUUAAUUUUGGGUAAUGUGAGAUAGAGAAAAUAAAAGGAAAUUGAUUGUCAUGCAUGGCAAGGAAAAUCACAACCAGACUACAGGACAAUGUUCUAGGUUUAGGUUUUAGGUUUAUUAAUAAAAAUGACAUUGCAACCAAGGGUUGAAUUACAUAAUUUACACCAACUAUCAAUUACUACUAUACUAUACAAAUUCUAAAAUUAGCAUUAAUUCUUUGCAUUUAAA
rnacentral:lncRNA from 1 species